CACGUAGGGUGCGAGCGUUGUCCGGAAUUAUUGGGCGUAAAGAGCUCGUAGGCGGUGUGUCGCGUCGGCCGUGAAAACCUGCAGCUUAACUGUGGGCUUGCGGUCGAUACGGGCAUCACUGGAGUUCGGCAGGGGAGACUGGAAUUCCUGGUGUAGCGGUGAAAUGCGCAGAUAUCAGGAGGAACACCGGUGGCGAAGGCGGGUCUCUGGGCCGAUAUUGACGCUGAGGAGCGAAAGCGUGGGGGAGCAAACAGG
rnacentral:rRNA from 1 species